GCCUGAAGAUAGAAUUCAGGAUGUGACAGAGUGUCUGCCGAGACUGAUCAAGCCCUUGGACUGCUACCCCUUUCUACUUCUCCAUCUCCAAGCAGCAAGAA